rnacentral:rRNA from 1 species
GAUGAACGCUAGCUACAGGCUUAACACAUGCAAGUCGUGGGGCAUCAUGAUGUAGUAAUACAUUGAUGGCGACCGGCGCACGGGUGAGUAACGCGUAUCCAACCUACCCUCCACUCAAGUAUAGGCUUCCGAAAGGGAGAUUAAUCCUUGAUAUCGUCAUUCUCUCUCCUGUUAGAAUGAUAAAAGGACAUCGUUUCGGUAGAGGAUGGGGAUGCGUUCCAUUAGGUAGUAGGUGGUUUAACAGGCCACCUAGCCGAUGAUGGAUAGGGGUUCUGAGAGGAAUAUCCCCCACACUGGUACUGAGAUACGGACCAGACUCCUACGGGAGGCAGCAGUGAGGAAUAUUGGUCAAUGGGCGCAAGCCUGAACCAGCCAUGUAGCGUGAAGGAUGACGGUUUUUUUGAUUGUAAACUUCUUUUCUGUGCGAUUAAAGUGUGGCAUUUAUG